rnacentral:rRNA from 1 species
UGCAACUCGCCUGUAUGAAGUCGGAAUUGCUAGAAUCGUGGAUCAGCAUGCCACGGUGAAUACGUUCCCGGGCCUUGUACACACCGCCCGUCACACCAUGAGAGCCGGGAACACCCGAAGUCCGUAGUCUAACCUAUAUGGAGGACGCGGCCGAAGGUGGGUUUGGUAAUUGGGUGAAGUCGUAACAAGGUAGC